rnacentral:rRNA from 1 species
GAUGAACGCUGGCGGCGCGCUUAAUACAUGCAAGUAGAACGCUGAAGCUUGGUGCUUGCACCGAGCGGAUGAGUUGCGAACGGGUGAGUAACGCGUAGGUAACCUGCCUGGUAGCGGGGGAUAACUAUUGGAACGAUAGCUAAUACCGCAUGACAACAGUUAUUGCAUGAUAGCUGUUUAAAAGGGGCAAUUGCUCCACUACCAGAUGGACCUGCGUUGUAUUAGCUAGUUGGUGAGGUAACGGCUCACCAAGGCGACGAUACAUAGCCGACCUGAGAGGGUGAUCGGCCACACUGGGACUGAGACACGGCCCAGACUCCUACGGGAGGCAGCAGUAGGGAAUCUUCGGCAAUGGACGGAAGUCUGACCGAGCAACGCCGCGUGAGUGAAGAAGGUUUUCGGAUCGUAAAGCUCUGUUGUAAGAGAAGAACGAGUGUGAGAGUGGAAGGUUCACACUGUGACGGUAUCUUACCAGAAAGG